UACGGAGGAUGCGAGCGUUAUCCGGAUUUAUUGGGUUUAAAGGGUGCGUAGGCGGGCUUUUAAGUCAGCGGUAAAAAUUCGGGGCUCAACCCCGUCCGGCCGUUGAAACUGGGGGUCUUGAGUGGGCGAGAAGAAGGCGGAAUGCGGGGUGUAGCGGUGAAAUGCAUAGAUAUCACGCAGAACCCCGAUUGCGAAGGCAGCCUUCCGGCGCCCUACUGACGCUGAGGCACGAAAGUGCGGGGAUCGAACAGG
rnacentral:rRNA from 1 species